rnacentral:rRNA from 1 species
UCCUGGCUAGGACGAACGCUGGCGGCGUGCCUAACACAUGCAAGUCGAGCGAGGAGAUCCUCGGGAUGAUCCUAGCGGCGGACGGGUGAGUAACACGUGGGCAACCUGCCUCAUAGAGAGGAAUAGCCUUCCGAAAGGGAGAUUAAUACCUCAUAACAUUGCAGUUUCGCAUGGAACAGCAAUUAAAGGAGCAAUCCGCUAUGAGAUGGGCCCGCGGCGCAUUAGCUAGUUGGUGAGGUAACGGCUCACCAAGGCGACGAUGCGUAGCCGACCUGAGAGGGUGAUCGGCCACAUUGGGACUGAGACACGGCCCAGACUCCUACGGGAGGCAGCAGUGGGGAAUAUUGCACAAUGGGGGAAACCCUGAUGCAGCCAACGCCGCGUGAGUGAUGACGGCCUUCGGGUUGUAAAGCUCUGUCUUCAGGGACGAUAAUGACGGUACCUGAGGAGGAAGCCACGGCUAACUACGUGCCAGCAGCUGC